GAUGAACGCUGGCGGCGUGCCUAAUACAUGCAAGUCGAGCGAACAGAUGAGGAGCUUGCUCCUCUGACGUUAGCGGCGGACGGGUGAGUAACACGUGGAUAACCUACCUAUAAGACUGGGAUAACUUCGGGAAACCGGAGCUAAUACCGGAUAAUAUAUUGAACCGCAUGGUUCAAUAGUGAAAGACGGUUUUGCUGUCACCUAUAGAUGGAUCCGCGCCGCAUUAGCUAGUUGGUAAGGUAACGGCUUACCAAGGCAACGAUGCGUAGCCGACCUGAGAGGGUGAUCGGCCACACUGGAACUGAGACACGGUCCAGACUCCUACGGGAGGCAGCAGUAGGGAAUCUUCCGCAAUGGGCGAAGGCCUGACGGAGCAACGCCGCGUGAGUGAUGAAGGUCUUCGGAUCGUAAAACUCUGUUAUUAGGGAAGAACAAAUGUGUAAGUAACUAUGCACGUCUUGACGGUACCUAAUCAGAAAGCCACGGCUAACUACGUG
rnacentral:rRNA from 1 species